rnacentral:rRNA from 1 species
UACGUAGGGUCCGAGCGUUGUCCGGAAUUACUGGGCGUAAAGAGCUCGUAGGCGGUGUGUCACGUCGGCCGUGAAAACCUGCAGCUUAACUGUGGGCGUGCGGUCGAUACGGGCAUCACUGGAGUUCGGCAGGGGAGACUGGAAUUCCUGGUGUAGCGGUGAAAUGCGCAGAUAUCAGGAGGAACACCGGUGGCGAAGGCGCCACUCUGGGCCGAAACUGACGCUGAGGAGCGAAAGCGUGGGUAGCAAACAGG